CAGCCGCCGCGGUAAUACCGGCGGCCCGAGUGGUGGCCGCUAUUAUUGGGCCUAAAGCGUCCGUAGCCGGGCCCGUAAGUCCCUGGCGAAAUCCCACGGCUCAACCGUGGGGCUUGCUGGGGAUACUGCUGGCCUAGGGACCGGGAGAGGCCGAGGGUAUUCCCGGGGUAGGGGUGAAAUCCUGUAAUCCCGGGAGGACCACCUGUGGCGAAGGCGCUCGGCUGGAACGGGUCCGACGGUGAGGGACGAAGGCCAGGGGAGCGAACCGGAUUAGAUACCCGGGUAGUCCUGGCUGUAAACGAUGCGGACUAGGUGUCGGGCAAGCUAAGGGCUUGUCCGGUGCCGCAGGGAAGCCGUUAAGUCCGCCGCCUGGGGAGUACGGCCGCAAGGCUGAAACUUAAAGGAAUUGGCGGG
rnacentral:rRNA from 1 species